CUUGGUCAUUUAGAGGAAGUAAAAGUCGUAACAAGGUUUCCGUAGGUGAACCUGCGGAAGGAUCAUUAACGAGUUAGGGUCUCUCUGGCCCGACCUCCCAACCCUUUGUCUACUUGACCAUCUUGCUUCGGCGAGCCCGGUCUCACGGACCGCCGGAGGGAUCUUUACUGGCCCUGUGGUCCGCGGUGGUCGGUAGCCCAACCUUUAAAAUCUUUAACUAAACGUGCCUUAAUCUAAGUACAAUUAUUAAAUAAAAGCAAAACUUUCAACAACGGAUCUCUUGGUUCUGGCAUCGAUGAAGAACGCAGUGAAAUGCGAUAAGUAAUGGGAAUUGCAGAAUUCCAGUGAGUCAUCGAAUCUUUGAACGCACAUUGCGCCCUUUGGUAUUCCGAAGGGCAUGCCUGUUCGAGCGUCAUUAUCACCCCUCAAGCCCUCGGCUUGGUGUUGGACGGUUUGGUGGAGGCCCCCUCGGGGGCUCCUGCCCCUCCCAAAGACAAUGACGGCGGCCUCGUUGGACCCUCGGUACACUGAGUUUUUCACGGGACACGUAUUC
rnacentral:sRNA from 1 species